UACAGAGGUCUCAAGCGUUGUUCGGAUUCAUUGGGCGUAAAGGGUGCGUAGGCGGCGCGGUAAGUCGGAUGUGAAAUCUCGGAGCUUAACUCCGAAACUGCAUUCGAUACUGCCUUGCUAGAGAGCUGUAGAGGAGACUGGAAUUUACGGUGUAGCAGUGAAAUGCGUAGAUAUCGUAAGGAACGCCAGUGGCGAAAGCGAGUCUCUGGGCAGCAUCUGACGCUGAGGCACGAAGGCCAGGGGAGCAAACGGG
rnacentral:rRNA from 1 species